rnacentral:misc_RNA from 1 species
UCUCCGUUGGUGAACCAGCGGAGGGAUCAUUACAGAGUUGCAAAACUCCCAAACCAUUGUGAACGUUACCUAUCCCGUUGCUUCGGCGGGCGCCCACGGGGGGCCGGGGGGCGCCCGCCGGAGGUAAACCAAACCCUUGAAUUGCAUGGCCUCUCUGAGUCUUCUGUACUGAAUAAGUCAAAACUUUCAACAACGGAUCUCUUGGUUCUG